rnacentral:rRNA from 1 species
UGGCGAACGGGUGAGUAAUACAUCGGAACGUGCCCUGUAGUGGGGGAUAACUAGUCGAAAGACUAGCUAAUACCGCAUACGACCUGAGGGUGAAAGUGGGGGACCGCAAGGCCUCAUGCUAUAGGAGCGGCCGAUGUCUGAUUAGCUAGUUGGUGGGGUAAAGGCCCACCAAGGCGACGAUCAGUAGCUGGUCUGAGAGGACGAUCAGCCACACUGGGACUGAGACACGGCCCAGACUCCUACGGGAGGCAGCAGUGGGGAAUUUUGGACAAUGGGGGCAACCCUGAUCCAGCAAUGCCGCGUGUGUGAAGAAGGCCUUCGGGUUGUAAAGCACUUUUGUCCGGAAAGAAAUCGCACUGGUUAAUACCUGGUGUGGAUGACGGUACCGGAAGAAUAAGGACCGGCUAACUACGUGCCAGCAGCCGCGGUAAUACGUAGGGUCCAAGCGUUAAUCGGAAUUACUGGGCGUAAAGCGUGCGCAGGCGGUUGUGCAAGACCGAUGUGAAAUCCCCGGGCUUAACCUGGGAAUUGCAUUGGUGACUGCACGGCUAGAGUGUGUCAGAGGGAGGUAGAAUUCCACGUGUAGCAGUGAAAUGCGUAGAGAUGUGGAGGAAUACCGAUGGCGAAGGCAGCCUCCUGGGAUAACACUGACGCUCAUGCACGAAAGCGUGGGGAGCAAACAGGAUUAGAUACCCUGGUAGUCCACGCCCUAAAACGAUGUCAACUAGUUGUUGGGGAUUCAUUUCCUUAGUAACGUAGCUAACGCGUGAAGUUGACCGCCUGGGGAGUACGGUCGCAAGAUUAAAACUCAAAGGAAUUGACGGGGACCCGCACAAGCGGUGGAUGAUGUGGAUUAAUUCGAUGCAACGCGAAAAACCUUACCUACCCUUGACAUGCCACUAACGAAGCAGAGAUGCAUUAGGUGCUCGAAAGAGAAAGUGGACACAGGUGCUGCAUGGCUGUCGUCAGCUCGUGUCGUGAGAUGUUGGGUUAAGUCCCGCAACGAGCGCAACCCUUGUCUCUAGUUGCUACGAAAGGGCACUCUAGAGAGACUGCCGGUGACAAACCGGAGGAAGGUGGGGAUGACGUCAAGUCCUCAUGGCCCUUAUGGGUAGGGCUUCACACGUCAUACAAUGGUGCAUACAGAGGGUUGCCAAGCCGCGAGGUGGAGCUAAUCCCAGAAAAUGCAUCGUAGUCCGGAUCGUAGUCUGCAACUCGACUACGUGAAGCUGGAAUCGCUAGUAAUCGCGG